rnacentral:rRNA from 1 species
GACGAACGCUUGCGGCGUGCUUAACACAUGCAAGUCGAACGGAAAGGCCCUGCUUUUGUGGGGUGCUCGAGUGGCGAACGGGUGAGUAACACGUGAGUAACCUGCCCUUGACUUUGGGAUAACUUCAGGAAACUGGGGCUAAUACCGGAUAGGAGCUCCUGCUGCAUGGUGGGGGUUGGAAAGUUUCGGCGGUUGGGGAUGGACUCGCGGCUUAUCAGCUUGUUGGUGGGGUAGUGGCUUACCAAGGCUUUGACGGGUAGCCGGCCUGAGAGGGUGACCGGCCACAUUGGGACUGAGAUACGGCCCAGACUCCUACGGGAGGCAGCAGUGGGGAAUAUUGCACAAUGGGCGGAAGCCUGAUGCAGCAACGCCGCGUGCGGGAUGACGGCCUUCGGGUUGUAAACCGCUUUCGCCUGUGACGAAGCGUGAGUGACGGUAAUGGGUAAAGAAGCACCGGCUAACUACGUGCCAGCAGCCGCGGUGAUACGUAGGGUGCGAGCGUUGUCCGGAUUUAUUGGGCGUAAAGGGCUCGUAGGUGGUUGAUCGCGUCGGAAGUGUAAUCUUGGGGCUUAACCCUGAGCGUGCUUUCGAUACGGGUUGACUUGAGGAAGGUAGGGGAGAAUGGAAUUCCUGGUGGAGCGGUGGAAUGCGCAGAUAUCAGGAGGAACACCAGUGGCGAAGGCGGUUCUCUGGGCCUUUCCUGACGCUGAGGAGCGAAAGCGUGGGGAGCGAACAGGCUUAGAUACCCUGGUAGUCCACGCUGUAAACGGUGGGUACUAGGUGUGGGGUCCAUUCCACGGGUUCCGUGCCGUAGCUAACGCUUUAAGUACCCCGCCUGGGGAGUACGGCCGCAAGGCUAAAACUCAAAGGAAUUGACGGGGCCCCGCACAAGCGGCGGAGCAUGCGGAUUAAUUCGAUGCAACGCGUAGAACCUUACCUGGGUUUGACAUGGAUCGGGAGUGCCCAGAGAUGGGUGUGCCUCUUUUGGGGUCGGUUCACAGGUGGUGCAUGGCUGUCGUCAGCUCGUGUCGUGAGAUGUUGGGUUAAGUCCCGCAACGAGCGCAACCCUUGUUCACUGUUGCCAGCACGUUAUGGUGGGGACUCAGUGGAGACCGCCGGGGUCAACUCGGAGGAAGGUGGGGAUGACGUCAAGUCAUCAUGCCCCUUAUGUCCAGGGCUUCACGCAUGCUACAAUGGCUGGUACAGAGAGUGGCGAGCCUGUGAGGGUGAGCGAAUCUCGGAAAGCCGGUCUCAGUUCGGAUUGGGGUCUGCAACUCGACCUCAUGGAGUCGGAGUCGCUAGUAAUCGCAGAUCAGCAACGCUGCGGUGAAUACGUUCCCGGGGCU